rnacentral:lncRNA from 1 species
GUGGCUAAAUAACAUUUAUACUCUUGAAGCACAAAAAGCUUUGGUACUGGCUGUUUCCAAUCGAUAUAAAUGCCUAGUCCUAGAUACUUGUGAUGACGGAAUUCUGAGAAUCAUAGAGGAUUAGCAUUUUGCAACAAUUGACAUGCUUGGGCAGUGACAAAUAUUUGAAAUAUACACUUUCAUUAUGUUAAGAAUAUGAUGUCAAAAUUAUAUACUAGUAAUCAGUCAUGU